GACGAACGCUGGCGGCGUGCUUAACACAUGCAAGUCGAACGGAAAGGCCCUGCUUUUGUGGGGUGCUCGAGUGGCGAACGGGUGAGUAACACGUGAGUAACCUGCCCUUGACUUUGGGAUAACUUCAGGAAACUGGGGCUAAUACCGGAUAGGAGCUCCUGCUGCAUGGUGGGGGUUGGAAAGUUUCGGCGGUUGGGGAUGGACUCGCGGCUUAUCAGCUUGUUGGUGGGGUAGUGGCUUACCAAGGCUUUGACGGGUAGCCGGCCCGAGAGGGUGACCGGCCACAUUGGGACUGAGAUACGGCCCAGACUCCUACGGGAGGCAGCAGUGGGGAAUAUUGCACAAUGGGCGGAAGCCUGAUGCAGCAACGCCGCGUGCGGGAUGACGGCCUUCGGGUUGUAAACCGCUUUCGCCAGUGACGAAGCGUGAGUGACGGUAAUGGGUAAAGAAGCACCGGCUAACUACGUG
rnacentral:rRNA from 1 species